GACGAACGCUGGCGGCGUGCUUAACACAUGCAAGUCGAACGGAAAGGCCCUGCUUUUGUGGGGUGCUCGAGUGGCGAACGGGUGAGUAACACGUGAGUAACCUGCCCUUGACUUUGGGAUAACUUCAGGAAACUGGGGCUAAUACCGGAUAGGAGCUCCUGCUGCAUGGUGGGGGUUGGAAAGUUUCGGCGGUUGGGGAUGGACUCGCGGCUUAUCAGCUUGUUAGUGGGGUAGUGGCUUACCAAGGCUUUGACGGGUAGCCGGCCUGAGAGGGUGACCGGCAACAUUGCGACUGAGAUACGGACCAGACUCCUACGGGAGGCAGCAGUGGGGAAUAUUGCACAAUGGGCGGAAGCCUGAUGCAGCAACGCCGCGUUCGGGAUGACGGCCUUCGGGUUGUAAACCGCUUUAGCCUGUGACGAAGCGUGAGUGACGGUAAUGGGUAAAGAAGCACCGGCUAACUACGUG
rnacentral:rRNA from 1 species